UUGCGGCUGGAUCACCUCCUUUCUAAGGAAUAUGCAGUCCUUGUGGACUGAUAAAACGUUGACUGUUACUUGUUUGUUUAGUUUUGAGAGUACAAUCUCUCAAAACAUUGCUCCUGCGCCAUAGCGUAUUCGAAGGUGUUAUCCUUCAGCUCGUCGCAAGGCAGCAUGAUGUAAAGCUCUGAAGUUUAAUCACGAAGUGAUUGAAAUCAGUAGCCUCGUUCCUUGAAAACUAGAUAAUCGUAAGAAGAAGUAACCAAGUAAAAACCGAGUUAAUCGCCAUUUUAGUUUUUCUCUCUUAUUAAAUAAGAGUAAAACCUUUUUAGGUUAAGUUAGAAAGGGCGCACGGUGGAUGCCUUGGCACUAGGAGCCGAUGAAGGACGGGACUAACACCGAUAUGCUUCGGGGAGCUGUAAGUAAGCUUUGAUCCGGAGAUUUCCGAAUGGGGAAACCCGGA
rnacentral:misc_RNA from 1 species